UGCUGGUUGGAAGCUUGAGAAGGUCUUCGAGCUUCGUUGAGCUGAAUUUGUACCCUUAGAAGCUGGUUAGGAAGCUGCUCUAACCUAGGCGAGAAGGUAUUUGACCCUUGGAUCGCCUUUGUUUGGCAUUGGAGGGCCUUCCGGAAGCUUAACGUGAGGUUUGGGACUUUGUUGAGCUGAUUCUUGGGACGUCUUGUGACUGCUUUGAGCAUAGUACGAGGUGGGUCGGACCUAACCAGAGCAAGUGAAGCUCCUCUAUGUUCUAUAUGUCAUUAUAGAGAAUUGAUAUACUUGUGUGUUAUUGUCACUAUGUAGUUGCUAAAGGAUUGGGGACAUCCGUGUGAUUAAGCUUAGCAUAAUGGAAAUAGAACCUCUAUGAAGUAGAGAGCACUCAUGCAUAAGUGUCUUUAUGCUUAUAUUUAUGUUUAUAUUUAGUUAAGUUAACUAAUGGACAUAAUGAUGAUGAUUUUGGAAAGUAGAGAACCAUGACAUACUUUAUGCCUCCAUGAUAGUGGAAAGAUUCUAAUGCCAUAUGUAAAUUAGCAUUACCCCUGUAUGCUUACUA